rnacentral:scRNA from 1 species
UUCGCUUUCCAUCCUUGUCAACAACGCCAUC